CUGGAACUGCCAUCAAAACUUUUUAGCCAGAGUAUGAUAGAGGAAAGCAGAAUUUCUAGUGUAGAGGUGAAAUUCGUAGAUAUUAGAAAGAAUACCAAUUGCGAAGGCAGCUUUCUGGAUCAUUACUGACACUGAGGAACGAAAGCAUGGGUAGCGAAAGAGGAUUAGAUACCCUCGUAGUCCAUGCCGUAAACGAUGUGUGUUAGACGUUGGAAAUUUAUUUUCUGUGUCGCAGCGAAAGCAAUAAACACACCGCCUGGGGAGUACGAUCGCAAGGUUAAAACUCAAAUGAAUUGACGGGGACCCGCACAAGUAGUGGAGCAUGUGGUUUAAUUCGAAGAUACGCGCAGAACCUUACCAACACUUGACAUGUUCGUCGCGACUUUAAGAGAUUAAAGUUUUCGGUUCGGCCGGACGAAACACAGGUGCUGCAUGGCUGUCGUCAGCUCGUGUCGUGAGAUGUUGGGUUAAGUCCCGCAACGAGCGCAACCCUCACUUUUAGUUGCCAUCAUUUAGUUGGGCACUCUGAAAGAACUGCCAGUGAUAAGCUGGAGGAAGGUGGGGAUGACGUCAAGUCCUCAUGGCCCUUACGUGUUGGGCUACACACGUGCUACAAUGGCAUUUACAAUAGGAAGCAAGACGGCGACGUUAAGCAAAUCCUAAAAAAAUGCCUCAGUUCGGAUUGUACUCUACAACUCGAGUACAUGAAGCUGGAAUUACUAGUAAUCGCGGAUCAGCGCGCCGCGGUGAAUACGUUCCCGGGUCUUGUACACACCGCCCGUCACACCAUGGGAGUUGGUUCUACCUUAAGGCAAAGCCUAAAAACAUUGACCACGGUAUAGUCAGCGACUGGGGUGAAGUCGUAACAAGGUAACCGUA
rnacentral:rRNA from 1 species